rnacentral:rRNA from 1 species
UACGGAGGGUGCGAGCGUUGUCCGGAAUCACUGGGCGUAAAGGGCGCGUAGGCGGCCGUGUAAGUCACUUGUGAAAUCCCGGGGCUCAACUCCGGGGCUGCAGGUGAGACUGCGUGGCUAGAGCACGGUAGAGGCGAGUGGAAUUCCCGGUGUAGCGGUGGAAUGCGUAGAUAUCGGGAAGAACACCGGUGGCGAAGGCGGCUCGCUGGGCCGUUACUGACGCUGAGACGCGAAAGCGUAGGGAGCAAACAGG